rnacentral:rRNA from 1 species
CCUACGGGUGGCUGCAGUGGGGAAUAUUGCACAAUGGGCGCAAGCCUGAUGCAGCCAUGCCGCGUGUGUGAAGAAGGCCUUCGGGUUGUAAAGCACUUUCAGCGGGGAGGAAGGCGUUAAGGUUAAUAACCUUGGCGAUUGACGUUACCCGCAGAAGAAGCACCGGCUAACUCCGUGCCAGCAGCCGCGGUAAUACGGAGGGUGCAAGCGUUAAUCGGAAUUACUGGGCGUAAAGCGCACGCAGGCGGUCUGUCAAGUCGGAUGUGAGAUCCCCGGGCUCAACCUGGGAACUGCAUUCGAAACUGGCAGGCUAGAGACUUGUAGAGGGGGGUAGAAUUCCAGGUGUAGCGGCGAAAUGCGUAGAGAUCUGGAGGAAUACCGGUGGCGAAGGCGGCCCCCUGGACAAAGACUGACGCUCAGGUGCGAAAGCGUGGGGAGCAAACAGGAUUAGAUACCCGGGUAGUC